UGGGGAAUAUUGCACAAUGGGGGAAACCCUGAUGCAGCGACGCCGCGUGAGUGAGGAAGUAUUUCGGUAUGUAAAACUCUAUCAGCAGGGAAGAUAAUGACGGUACCUGACUAAGAAGCACCGGCUAAAUACGUGCCAGCAGCCGCGGUAAUACGUAUGGUGCAAGCGUUAUCCGGAUUUACUGGGUGUAAAGGGUGCGUAGGUGGUAUGGCAAGUCAGAAGUGAAAGGCUGGGGCUCAACCCCGGGACUGCUUUUGAAACUGUCAAACUAGAGUACAGGAGAGGAAAGCGGAAUUCCUAGUGUAGCGGUG
rnacentral:rRNA from 1 species